UCCUACGUGGAUAACUGUGGUAAUUCUAGAGCUAAUACAUGCACCAAAGCUCCGAUUUUCUGACGAGCGCAUCUAUUAGAUUAAAACCAAUCGGGUUUCGGCCCGUCAAUUGGUGACUCUGAAUAACUAUAGCUGAUCGCAUGGUCUCGAACCGGCGACGUGUCUAUCAAGUGUCUGCCUUAUCAACUGUCGAUGGUAGUUUAUGUGCCUACCAUGGUUGUAACGGGUAACGGAGAAUAAGGGUUCGACUCCGGAGAGGGAGCCUGAGAAACGGCUACCACAUCCAAGGAAGGCAGCAGGCGCGCAAAUUACCCACUCUCGGCAUGAGGAGGUAGUGACGAAAAAUAACGAGACCGUUCUCUAUGAGGCCGGUUAUCGGAAUGGGUACAAUUUAAACCCGUUAACGAGGAUCUAUGAGAGGGCAAGUCUGGUGCCAGCAGCCGCGGUAAUUCCAGCUCUCAAAGUGUAUAUCGUCAUUGCUGCGGUUAAAAAGCUCGUAGUUGGAUCUGCGCCUCAGGACCUGGUCCGCCCACUGGGCGAGAACUGSGCUCCUGGGCUAGUUCUGCUGGUUUUCCCUACGUUGCCUUCAUCGGUCGCGUAGGGUGGCUAGCGAGUUUACUUUGAAAAAAUUAGAGUGCUUCACGCGGGCUUAUGUCUGAAUACUCGUGCAUGGAAUAAUAGAAUAGGAUCUCGGUUCUAUUUUGUUGGUUUUCUGAUCUGAGAUAAUGGUUAAGAGGGACGGACGGGGGCAUUCGUAUCGCUGCGUGAGAGGUGAAAUUCUUGGACCGUAGCGAGACGUCCGACUGCGAAAGCAUUUGCCAAGAAUGUCUUCAUUAAUC
rnacentral:rRNA from 1 species